UACUCAAAAAAACAAUCUCAGUUCAGACUGCAGGCUGCAACUCGCCUGCACGAAGUCGGAAUUGCUAGUAAUCGUAGGUCAGCAUACUACGGUGAAUACGUUCCCGGGCCUUGUACACACCGCCCGUCAAACCAUGAGAGUUGGCAACACCCGAAGUCGGUAGUCUAACCGCAAGGAGGACGCCGCCGAAGGUGGGGUUGAUGAUUAGGGUUAAGUCGUAACAAGGUAGC
rnacentral:rRNA from 1 species